rnacentral:rRNA from 1 species
AAGCUUGCUUCCUAUGAAAUCGAGUGGCAAACGGGUGAGUAACGCGUAAACAACCUGCCCUUCGGAUGGGGAUAACAGCCGGAAACGGCUGCUAAUACCGAAUACGAUCUUUUCGUCGCAUGACGAAAAGAAGAAAGGAUGGCCUCUAUACAAAGCUAUCGCCGAAGGAGGGGUUUGCGUCUGAUUAGCUGGUUGGAGGGGUAACGGCCCAACAAGGCGAUGAUCAGUAGCCGGUCUGAGAGGAUGAACGGCCACAUUGGGACUGAGACACGGCCCAGACUCCUACGGGAGGCAGCAGUGGGGAAUCUUCCGCAAUGGACGAAAGUCUGACGGAGCAACGCCGCGUGAGUGAAGAAGGUCUUCGGAUUGUAAAGCUCUGUUAUACGGGACGAAAAAGACGGAUGCCAACAGUAUCCGUCCGUGACGGUACCGUAAGAGAAAGCCACGGCUAACUACGUGCCAGCAGCCGCGGUAAUACGUAGGUGGCAAGCGUUGUCCGGAAUUAUUGGGCGUAAAGGGCGCGCAGGCGGUUCGGUAAGUCUGUCUUAAAAGUGCGGGGCUUAACCCCGUGAGGGGACGGAAACUGUCGAACUUGAGUGUCGGAGAGGAAAGCGGAAUUCCUAGUGUAGCGGUGAAAUGCGUAGAUAUUAGGAGGAACACCGGUGGCGAAAGCGGCUUUCUGGACGACAACUGACGC